rnacentral:rRNA from 1 species
AAUCAACGCUGGCGGCGUGCCUAACACAUGCAAGUCGCACGAGAAAGGGACUUCGGUCCUGAGUACAGUGGCGCACGGGUGAGUAACACGUGAAUCAUCUACCUUCGAGUGGGGAAUAACUGAGAGAAAUCUUAGCUAAUACCGCAUAAUACCUACGGGUCAAAGCAGCAAUGCGCUUGAAGAGGAGUUCGCGGCAGAUUAGUUAGUUGGCAGGGUAAGGCCUACCAAGACGAUGAUCUGUAUCCGGCCUGAGAGGGCGCACGGACACACUGGAACUGAACACGGUCCAGACUCCUACGGGAGGCAGCAGUGGGAAUUUUGCGCAAUGGGGGAACCCUGACGCAGCAACGCCGCGUGGAGGAUGAAAUCCCUUGGGAUGUAAACUCUUUCGAUCGGGAAGAUAAUGACGGUACCGAGAGAAG